CACGUAGGGCGCGAGCGUUGUCCGGAAUUAUUGGGCGUAAAGAGCUCGUAGGCGGCCUGUUGCGUCCGCUGUGAAAGCCCGGGGCUUAACCCCGGGUCGGCAGUGGAUACGGGCAGGCUAGAGGUAGGUAGGGGAGAAUGGAAUUCCCGGUGUAGCGGUGAAAUGCGCAGAUAUCGGGAGGAACACCGGUGGCGAAGGCGGUUCUCCGGGCCUUACCUGACGCUGAGGAGCGAAAGCGUGGGGAGCGAACAGG
rnacentral:rRNA from 1 species